rnacentral:rRNA from 1 species
UAUGAACGCUGGCGGCGUGCUUAACACAUGCAAGUCGAACGAAGCACCUUGAUUUGAUUCUUCGGAUGAAGAUCUUGGUGACUGAGUGGCGGACGGGUGAGUAACGCGUGGGUAACCUGCCUCAUACAGGGGGAUAACAGUUGGAAACGGCUGCUAAUACCGCAUAAGCGCACAGUACCGCAUGGUACCGUGUGAAAAACUCCGGUGGUAUGAGAUGGACCCGCGUCUGAUUAGCUAGUUGGUGGGGUAACGGCCUACCAAGGCGACGAUCAGUAGCCGGACUGAGAGGUUGAACGGCCACAUUGGGACUGAGACACGGCCCAG